GCCUCUGUAGCUCAGUUGGUUAGAGCGCUGCACCGGAAUCGCAGGGCCGUCUAGGUUCAAUUCCUACCAGAGGAC
rnacentral:tRNA from 1 species